UACGGAGGGUGCAAGCGUUACUCGGAAUCACUGGGCGUAAAGAGCGCGUAGGCGGGAUAGCAAGUCAGAUGUGAAAUCCUAUGGCUUAACCGUGGAGGGUCAUUGGAAACUGGUUGACUUGAGUGCAGAAGAGGGAAGUGGAAUUCCAUGUGUAGCGGUGAAAUGCGUAGAGAUAUGGAGGAACACCAGUGGCGAAGGCGGCUUCCUGGUCUGCAACUGACACUGAGGCGCGAAAGCGUGGGGAGCAAACAGG
rnacentral:rRNA from 1 species